GACGAAGGGGGCUAGCGUUGUUCGGAAUUACUGGGCGUAAAGCGAGUGUAGGUGGUUGUCCAAGUUGGAUGUGAAAGCCUUGAGCUCAACUCAAGAAAUGCAUUCAGGACUGGGCGGCUAGAGGACCGGAGAGGAUAGUGGAAUUCCCAGUGUAGUGGUGAAAUGCGUAGAGAUCGGGAGGAACAUCUGUGGCGAAGGCGGCCAUCUGGACCAGCACUGACACUGAGGCACGAAAGCGUGGGGAGCAAACAGG
rnacentral:rRNA from 1 species